UGGCGGCGUGCCUAACACAUGCAAGUCGAACGGGAAUCUUCGGAUUCUAGUGGCGGACGGGUGAGUAACGCGUAAGAAUCUAACUUCAGGACGGGGACAACAGUUGGAAACGACUGCUAAUACCCGAUGUGCCGCAAGGUGAAAACUAAUUGGCCUGAAGAAGAGCUUGCGUCUGAUUAGCUAGUUGGUGGGGUAAGAGCCUACCAAGGCGACGAUCAGUAGCUGGUCUGAGAGGAUGAGCAGCCACACUGGGACUGAGACACGGCCCAGACUCCUACGGGAGGCAGCAGUGGGGAAUUUUCCGCAAUGGGCGAAAGCCUGACGGAGCAACGCCGCGUGAGGGAGGAAGGUCUUUGGAUUGUAAACCUCUUUUCUCAAGGAAGAGUUCUGACGGUACUUGAGGAAUCAGCCUCGGCUAACUCCGUGCCAGCAGCCGCGGUAUACGGGG
rnacentral:rRNA from 1 species